rnacentral:rRNA from 1 species
GGUUAAGCUACAAAGAGCACACGGAGGAUGCCUAGGCGCCAGGAGCCGACGAAGGACGUGGCGAACAACGAUAAGGCCUCGGGGAGCUGUAAGCAAGCUUUGAUCCGGGGAUGUCCGAAUGGGGAAACCCGGCUGUCUUCAUCGACAGUCACUACUCACUGAAUUCAUAGGUGAGUGAGAGGCAGACCAGGGGAACUGAAACAUCUAAGUACCCUGAGGAAGAGAAAACAAUAGUGAUUCCGUCAGUAGCGGCGAGCGAACGCGGAUUAGCCCAAACCAAGGAGCUUGCUCCUUGGGGUUGUGGGACGUCUCACAUGGAGUUACAAAGGAACCGGUUAGAUGAAGAGGUCUGGAAAGGCCCGCCAGAGAAGGUAAAAGCCCUGUAGUUCAAAA